rnacentral:misc_RNA from 1 species
CCAAAGCUUUAGUAGCUGCGACUAGUCUCCCACACUCUGAUGGCUCCAUCAGUGUAUCCAGUGUAUAAUGUGCUACCAUCUGAGCUCCAGCUUAGGCUUGUGCAGUAAACCAUCUGGUUCUUAGUAGCCUGCGUCUCAGGCCUGAGAUCCUGAACAAUAGACUUGCUCUCGAGAUCCCAGAUCUUAAUACUAUCCUGAGUAGCAGCACACAGCCAAUAGCGGUUGGGGCUGAAGCAAAGAGCGUGAAUGAUAGCUCCAGCAUCAAGGGAAUACAGCCGCUUCCCCUCCGCCAAAUCCCACAGCAGUGUCACACCAUCCUUGCCCCCGCUAGCGCACAACGAACCAUCAGGACUAACAGCCACAGUGUUAACAUACCCACCAUGGCCUGCAAGAGUGUUGCGGAGCUUGCAGUUGGUGAGAUUCCACACCUUAACGGUGCGAUCCCAGGACCCGGAGACAAUGG